GUACUUGAGUGUUUGUUUUAUUGUUUAGGGAUCGGAUGUGUGUUAAUAGCUGUAAUGUACGGCGGGCUUGUGUGGUUGGCCAUUGUGCAAUGCAUUUACUUAGUAUUACUGUUGUAUUGAGUUGCAAAGAUCGGUCUGUUAGUUGCUUUAUUUGCAUUUUCUGUUUUGUUAAGUAGGUCAUUUUGUGUGUACAGUAGUGCUUUGUUAAAGGAUGUCGGAUAAUGUUGUCAUGUUUGUGCAUAAA